UAGGUAGGGGGCGAGCGUUAAUCGGAAUUACUGGGCGUAAAGCGUGCGCAGGCGGCUUUGCAAGACAGAUGUGAAAUCCCCGGGCUCAACCGGGGAACUGCAUUUGUGACUGCAAGGCUAGAGUACGGCAGAGGGGGAUGGAAUUCCGCGUGUAGCAGUGAAAUGCGUAGAUAUGCGGAGGAACACCAAUGGCGAAGGCAAUCCCCUGGGCCUGUACUGACGCUCAUGCACGAAAGCGUGGGGAGCAAACAGG
rnacentral:rRNA from 1 species